UACGGGGGGUGCGAGCGUUGUCCGGAAUCACUGGGCGUAAAGGGCGCGUAGGUGGCGUGAUAAGGGUGUGGUGAAAGCCCGGGGCUCAACCCCGGGUCUGCCAUGCCGACUGUCAGGCUGGAGUACUGUAGGGGCAGGCGGAAUUCCGGGUGUAGCGGUGGAAUGCGUAGAGAUCCCCAAGAACACCAGUUGCGAAGGCGGCCGACUGGACACAUAUUGACGCUGAGGCUCGAAAGCAUGGGGAGCAAACAGG
rnacentral:rRNA from 1 species